rnacentral:lncRNA from 1 species
CUGACAUCAUGAUGGGGGGAGAGACACUGUGUUAGUCGCUGGGGAGCACCUGUCAGACGGCAGCAGCCGGUCCCCCAGAAGCUGAGCCACGGGAGACACAGCAGGUCCAUGAGCCACCCCGGGAGCCCCACUCCUCCAGGCCUGCAGGGAUCACUCUGUGUGUCCAAAAAAGAAACAAAAACCAUCAUCACCUGCAUGCCACAAACACAAAGACAAAUGAUCCCAUGGGAUGAGGACCACAGAGUCCACUGAAAUCUCAUCACACUGGAGGACCUAUCCAAAAACACUCAAAUAAGGCCAGGGGCAGUCACUCACACCUGUAAUCCCAGCACUUUGGAGGCUGAGGCAGGUGGAUCACCUCAGGUCAGGAGUUCAAGACCAGCCUGACCAAUAUGGUGAAACCCCAUCUCCACUAAAAAUACAAAAAUUAGCUGGGCAUGGCGGCAUGCACCUGUAAUCCCAGCUACUCCAGAGGCUGAGACAGGAGAAUUGCUUGAAUCCGGGAGGCAGAGGUUGCAGUGAGCUGAGAUCGCGCAACCACACUCCAGUUUGGGCGACAGAACGAGACUCUGUCUCAAAACAAACAAACCAACAAAACACUCGAAUAAUAAUCUUGCCGGGCGCAGUGGCUCACGCCUGUAAUCCCAGCACUUUGGGAGGCCGAGUAGGGCGAAUCACGAGGUAAGGAGAUCGAGACUAUGGUGAAACCCCAUCUCUACUAAAAAUACAAAAAAUUAGCCGAGCCUGGUGGUGGGCACCUAGUCCCAGCUACUUGGGAGGCUGAGGCAGGAGAAUGGCAUGAACCCCGGAGGCGGAGCUUGCAGUGAGCUGCGAUCACACCACUGCACCCCAGCCUGGGCAACAGAGCGAGACUCCGUCUCAAAAACUAACAAUACUAAUCUUUAGCUGGAUACAGUGACUCACACCUGUACCCCAGCGCUCUGGGAGACUGAGGCAAGAGGAUUGCUAGAGCCUGGGAGUUUAAGAACAGCCUGGGCAACAUAGUGAAACCCCAUCUCUCCCAAAAAAUCAAAAAAUUAGCCAGGCGUGGUGGAGCGCCUGUGGUCCCAGGUGCUUACAGAGGGCUGAGGCAGGAGGAUCACUUGAGCCCAGGAGUUCCAUGCUGCAAGGAGCCAUGAUCACAACACUGCACUCCAGCCUGGGGACCCUGUCCCCAGAAAACAACAAAAAUAAAAACAAACAAUCUUCAAGUUAAACACAAUGAACAUAAAUUCCUGAAAGACUCUCCACAUGGGGGGAAGGCCUCUUCUAUGCCGCGUUUAUUCCCAAAGACUUUUUAUAAGAUUUGAUACUAACUAUCAGAGUUCAGAAAACAGAAAGCUCAGAGAGUAAAAUGAAGGUAAAAGAUUUGGCCAGGCAUGGUGGCUCAUGCCUUUAAUCCCAGUACUUUGGGGGGCCAUGCCAGGAGGAUUGCUUGAGGCCAAGAGUUCAAGACCAGCCUGGGCAACAUAGUGAGACUUCAUCUAUACCAAAAACAAACAAACAAAUCAGCCAAGUACUGUGGUGCAUGCCUGUGGUCCCAGCUAUUCUGGGAGGCUGAAGUGGGAGAAUUGCUUGAACUCAGGAGGUCGAGGCUGCAAUGACCUACGAUUGCACCACUGCACUAUAGCCUAGAGGACAGAGCAAGACCUUGUCUCAAAAAAUAAAAUAAAAUAGAUUUUUAAUUUUUGUAUGAAGAAGCAGGUUUUUUUCUGGUUUUUUUGUUGUUGUUGUUGUCGUCUUUGACACAAAGUCUCACUCUGUUACCCAGGCUGGAGUGCAAUGGCACGACCUGGGCUCACUGCAGCCUCUGCCUCCUGGGUUCAAGCAGUCCUCUUGCCUCAGCCUCCCAAAUAGCUGGGAUUACAGGUGCCUGCCACCAAGCCUGGCUAAUUUUUUUUUUCUUUUUUUUGAUGGUGUCUCUGUCGUCCAGGCUGGAGUGCAGUGGCGCAAUCUUGGCUCACUCCAACCUCUUCCUCCUAGGUUCAAGCAAUUCUCCUGCCUCAGCCUCCUGAGUAGCUGGAAUUACAGGUGCACGCCACCGCACCCAGCUAAUUUUUGUAUUUUUAGUAGAGGCGGGGUUUCACCAUGUUAGUCAGGCUAGUCUUGAACUCCUGACCUCGUGAUCCACCCGCCUCGGCCUCCCAAAGUGCUAGGAUUACAGGCGUAAGCCACCACGCCCGGCCGGUUUUUUGGGGUUUGUUUUGCUUUUUUUUGUUUUCCUUUUUUGUUUUGUAUUUUUAUUAGAGAUGGGGUUUUGCUAUGUUGGCCAGGCUGGUCUCAAACUCCUGACCUCAAGUGAUCCGACAGCCUCAGCCUCCCAAAGUGCUGGGAUUACAGGAAGGAGCCACCGCGCCAGCCUGAAGAAGAGGUUUAAAAAGAAAAAACCAAAAACAAAAAAACUACCAAGUAGCUACCUUAGUCUUUUUUGGAAAAAGACCAAACUUUAAACAUUUAAUAAUAAACAAAUGUAACAAUGAAUCCCCAGAAAUCUGAAAAGGUGCUGACACAAGCAUCCGUCUGUCUGAGUCACAGAAAAGGGCAGAGGGCACGAGGUGCCUGGAGGGCCUGAGGGCAGAGCUCAGCCGCAACCCGGCCCUGCUGCUUAGAGGCUCGGGGCCUUGGCAAAUGACAGCCUCCCUGAGCCUGUUUCUCCAUCCGUAAAACAGGCCUCCCAGCCCUGUGUCGGAGCAACUGAAACGAGGGUUAAAUGAGGAAACCAUGCGACAGAUGUCAGCAUAAUCCCUGCCACGCAGAGGAGGCAAAAUCACUUUGAAGGGUUAAAACUUGUUUCUCUGGUUAAAAAGGGAUGUACUCUUCAAAGUUAGAAAAAUACCUUGGCCCUCUCCCUCCCCCUCCCCCUCCCCCUCCCCCUCUCCCUCUCCCUCACCCCACAGUCUCCCUCUCAUGCGGAGCCGAAGCUGGACUGUACUGCUGCCAUCUCGGCUCACUGCAACCUCCCUGCCUGAUUCUCCUGCCUCAGUCUGCCGAAUGCCUGCGAUUGCAGGCACGCGCCGCCACGCCUGACUGGUUUUGGUGGAGACGGGGUUUCGCUGUGUUGGCCGGGCCGGUCUCCAGCCCCUAACCGCGAGUGAUCCGCCAACCUCGGCCUCCCGAGGUGCCGGGAUUGCAGACGGAGUCUCGUUCACUCAGUGCUCAAUGGUGCCCAGGCUGGAGUGCAGUGACGUGAUCUCGGCUCACUACAACCUACACCUCCCAGCCGCCUGCCUUGGCCUCCCAAAGUGCCGAGACUGCAGCCUCUGCCCGGCCGCCACCCCGUCUGGGAAGUGAGGAGUGUCUCUGCCUGGCCGCCCAUCGUCUGGGAUGUGAGGAGCCCCUCUGCCUGGCUGCCCAGUCUGGAAAGUGAGGAGCGUCUCCGCCCGGCCGCCAUCCCAUCUAGGAAGUGAGGAGCGCCUCUUCCCAGCCGCCAUCACAUCUAGGAAGUGAGGAGCGUCUCUGCCCGGCCGCCCAUAGUCUGAGAUGUGGGGAGCGCCUCUGCCCCGCCGCCCCAUCUGGGAUGUGAGGAGCGCCUCUGCCCGGCCGAGACCCCGUCUGGGAGGUGAGGAGCGUCUCUGCCCGGCCAGCCACCCCGUCCGGGAGGGAGAUGGGGGGGUCAGCCCCACCACCUGGCCAGCCGCCCCGUCCGGGAGGGAGGUGGGGGGGUCAGCCCCCCGCCUGGCCAGCCGCCCCAUCCGGGAGGGAGGUGGGGGGCGUCAGCCCUCCGCCCGGCCAGCCGCCCCAUCUGGGAUGUGAGGAGCGCCUCUGCCCGGCGAGACCCCGUCUGGGAGGUGAGGAGCGUCUCUGCCCGGCCGCCCCGUCUGAGAAGUGAGGAGACCCUCUGCCUGGCAACCACCCCGUCUGAGAAGUGAGGAGCCCCUCCGCCCGGCAGCUGCCCUGUCUGAGAAGUGAGGAGCCUCUCCGCCCGGCAGCCACCCCAUCUGGGAAGGUUAAAUGGAUUAAGGGCGGUGCAGGAUGUGCUUUGUUAAACAGAUGCUUGAAGGCAGCAUGCUCGUUAAGAGUCAUCACCACUCCCUAAUCUCAAGUAAUCAGGGACACAAACACUGCGGAAGGCCGCAGGGUCCUCUGCCUAGGAAAACCAGAGACCUUUGUUCACUUGUUUAUCUGCUGACCUUCCCUCCACUAUUGUCCCAUGACCCUGCCAAAUCCCCCUCUGCGAGAAACACCCAAGAAUGAUCAAUAAAAAAAUAAAUUAAAAAAAAAAAAAAAGAA